rnacentral:tRNA from 1 species
AGGAGUAUAGCAUAUGUAAUGUGUUUCGUUUACAUCGAAAAGAAU